rnacentral:tRNA from 1 species
GCCGCAGUAGCUCAAUGGCAGAGUACCUGGCUGUUAACCAGGGUGUUGUUGGUUCGAGUCCAUCCUGCGGCGCCA